CAUGCCGGUCGAAGAUACCAGGCCGCUGCGACUGUUUAUUAAAAACACAGCACUCUGCAAACACGAAAGUGGACGUAUAGGGUGUGACGCCUGCCCGGUGCCGGAAGGUUAAUUGAUGGGGUUAGCGCAAGCGAAGCUCUUGAUCGAAGCCCCGGUAAACGGCGGCCGUAACUAUAACGGUCCUAAGGUAGCGAAAUUCCUUGUCGGGUAAGUUCCGACCUGCACGAAUGGCGUAACGAUGGCGGCGCUGUCUCCACCCGAGACUCAGUGAAAUUGAAAUCGCUGUGAAGAUGCAGUGUAUCCGCGGCUAGACGGAAAGACCCCGUGAACCUUUACUAUAGCUUUGCACUGGACUUUGAAUUUGCUUGUGUAGGAUAGGUGGGAGGCUUUGAAGUGGGGACGCCAGUUCUCAUGGAGCCAUCCUUGAAAUACCACCCUGGCAACUUUGAGGUUCUAACUCAGGUCCGUUAUCCGGAUCGAGGACAGUGUAUGGUGGGUAGUUUGACUGGGGCGGUCUCCUCCCAAAGAGUAACGGAGGAGUACGAAGGUGCGCUCAGACCGGUCGGAAAUCGGUCGUAGAGUAUAAAGGCAAAAGCGCGCUUGACUGCGAGACAAACACGUCGAGCAGGUACGAAAGUAGGUCUUAGUGAUCCGGUGGUUCUGUAUGGAAGGGCCAUCGCUCAACGGAUAAAAGGUACUCCGGGGAUAACAGGCUGAUACCGCCCAAGAGUUCAUAUCGACGGCGGUGUUUGGCACCUCGAUGUCGGCUCAUCACAUCCUGGGGCUGAAGCCGGUCCCAAGGGUAUGGCUGUUCGCCAUUUAAAGUGGUACGCGAGCUGGGUUUAGAACGUCGUGAGACAGUUCGGUCCCUAUCUGCCGUGGACGUUUGAGAUUUGAGAGGGGCUGCUCCUAGUACGAGAGGACCGGAGUGGACGAACCUCUGGUGUUCCGGUUGUCACGCCAGUGGCAUUGCCGGGUAGCUAUGUUCGGAAGAGAUAACCGCUGAAAGCAUCUAAGCGGGAAACUUGCCUCAAGAUGAGAUCUCACUGGGAUCUUGAAUCCCCUAAAGGGCCGUCGAAGACUACGACGUUGAUAGGUUGGGUGUGUAAGCGCUGUGAGGCGUUGAGCUAACCAAUACUAAUUGCCCGUGAGGCUUGACCA
rnacentral:rRNA from 1 species